UUAGAAGAAUCAAACCUCUGGAACACAACGAUCUUGGCCUAAAAUGUAGACAAGAAAUGAUCUUGUAGAGCUUCUUGACUUUCUUUACCUUCACUUAAGCACUGCACAUGCAUAGAUAUAUGUAUCUUUUCUCUCUCUGUAAAUAUAUGUCUAUGUAUAUGCAUACAUAUAGAUAUGUGUAUGAUCUCUCAAACCCAUUAUUAUGAGUUCCAGUUCAUGGUGGGAAGAUGAAACUGUUGUCUCAAAACGCCAUCACCAAGAGAGCCAAGAAAUGUAUUAGGGUGAAAUGGUGUACCCUGUGGAAGCUGGCUGAGCAAAGAAACAAAGGAGGUGUUGUCUUCAGUAGCAGUGCCACAGCUAUUAAGAUCACCCUGAAAACGCUUCCCUGAGGGGGCUCCCAUGGAUGAUCCUGCAGCAGCAGCAGCAGCAGCAGCAGCUUCAUUCCAGUACUGAGACGGGAGUAAACGUUUUGCUGCAAGAGUAUUGGAAGUAGAAACUAACGGUAUGGAGACAUGUGGCUUGGGGCUUGAAGAGGGUAACUGAGAAAUAUUGGAGCUAUUUUGCAUGCCAUCGCUUCCUGUUAGUAUCCCUUCAAAGAAAUUCUCUUCAUUUUCAAGUACCGAUGCAUGACUUGUAGAUUUUGAAGCUACAGGGGGUUUCGGAUGUAUUGGUAGUGAAGAAAGCAAGCACUCCAUUGAAUCCUCCUUGUCCCUCUCCAUAGGUCUUUGCGAGUUGUUUUUCUUGUAAAUCCGGCAUAAAACCCAAUCGUCAAGCCUUAAAGAACCUUUCUUGUUAGCUGAAUCAACACCUGGAGGCUUUGAGGCAGAAGUAUUAUUAUCCACAAGGCGGUAUUCAUGCAUAAUCCAAUUAGUCUUAAUCCCUUUCGGAGGCUUACCACCAUAAAAAACCAGCGCCUUCUUCACGCCAACCUUUUGAGCUCCAUUAGAAGCUAGUAUAGGCUUAUCUGUUCCGGUGGCUUUCCAAUACCCUGAAGUUGCCGCCCGAUUAGGCCUAGCUCCGUUGGGGUAUUUCCGAUCUCUAGGACUGAAAAAGUACCACUCCUGCUCUCCAAACGUAGCCUUACUUGGUAGCUCCCACGGAUCAAACUUGUAGAGAUCAACCUCAGCGAUGAUGGUAACGGGAAGAGGAGCUGAAGCGGCCUUCUUUUUAAGAUAGUGGACGACUAGCUCUUCAUCGGUGGGGUGGAAGCGGAAGCCCGGCGGAAGAUGGGGGUGGUGGAAGGCGGAGGAUGAAUCGGUGCUCUCCAUGAAAAUUUGGUCCACGAAUUGAGUGAAAGGGGAAAAA
rnacentral:misc_RNA from 1 species